CGGAGGAUCCAAGCGUUAUCCGGAUUUAUUGGGUUUAAAGGGUGCGUAGGCGGCUUUUUAAGUCAGGGGUGAAAGACGGUAGCUCAACUAUCGCAGUGCCCUUGAUACUGAAGAGCUUGAAUGUACUUGAGGUAGGCGGAAUGUGACAAGUAGCGGUGAAAUGCAUAGAUAUGUCACAGAACACCAAUUGCGAAGGCAGCUUACUAAAGUAUGAUUGACGCUGAGGCACGAAAGCGUGGGGAUCAAACAGGAUUAGAUACCCUGGUAGUCCACGCCCUAAACGAUGAACACUCGUUGUUGGCGAUAUACGGUCAGCGUCUAAGCGAAAGCGUUAAGUGUUCCACCUGGGGAGUACGCCCGCAAGGGUG
rnacentral:rRNA from 1 species